UGGCUCAGUGGACAGAGCGUUGGCCUGCAGACUAAAUAGUCCCGGGUUCAAUUCCCGG
rfam:Myotis davidii contig208722, whole genome shotgun sequence.